UGGCUACAUUUCACUGCUUGAUGAAGUGACCCCUCUCUCUAGUUUGCAGAGUGCUUUGGGAUCCUUUGGAUGAAAGGCACUAAGGAAAUGCAAGAUGCUAGGGGGCUCUGACCCGAUCUGCGAUCAAGGGCAAAUAUUGCUCAAAUCCACCUUCUGCUCCCUGAAACUUCUGUCCCAGGGUGGGACUGCCGUUUGGCAGGGAAAUUGACAGCACGACACCCAUGGGGAGUGAGAGCACAAGAGCAGCAUGUCCGCAAACCAACAUGCGACUCUACUGCAGAGACUUCCCUAUAUAAACCUCAUGGGCUUCUCUCUCUUGAUGCAGCAAGCCGAGGGCCCUGCUGCCCCGCAGAAAUGAAGUGGAGAUGCCAGUUUAUGGGGGGAGGAAGAAUAUUGCUCUGCGCCCUGCUUACUCCAGUCACCAGGGCCUGCAAGAUUACUGGGUCAGCCCACAGAGGCGCUAUGCAUCUGGCAGCACAUGGGCCACCCCCAGGCGGUGGCUGCUUAUCCUCCCUGGGAACACAGGCCUUUCCGAAGUAGAGUCUGUCCACUGGCCAAGCUGCUGCGGAUUGAAACACAACCUGGUAUGGAAAUAUCGCUGGCAAAAUCUCAACCAUUACUACCUGGGCAAGAGAGUUCGCCGACUCACGAGCCUGUGACCUGUCACCCCUGAGGGGGUCACCAACCCAGGAAAAGUUCCCAACGGCGCCUGCUUGAUCCCUGAGACGGAGAUGUGACCCCAAGUGGAGCAGCCCCUCCUCUGCUCCCCAGACUCCUCCCCAACACCUCCUGGCUGGGACUGAGGCUUCUGAACAGAGUGGCUCCCUGGGCCUUGGCUGGCUGAUGGAUGUAAUGCUGCUUGCAAUAAAAGGGUUGGAAAGCA